CUACGGGAGGCAGCAGUGGGGAAUUUUGCGCAAUGGGGGAAACCCUGACGCAGCAAUACCGCGUGAGUGAAGAAGGCCUUUGGGUCGUAAAGCUCUUUUCUUGGGGAAGAUAGUGACGGUACCCAAGGAAUAAGCACCGGCUAACUCCGUGCCAGCAGCCGCGGUAAUACGGAGGGUGCAAGCGUUGUUCGGAUUUACUGGGCGUAAAGGGCACGUAGGCGGCACAGCAAGUUAAGGGUGAAAUCCCGGGGCUCAACUCCGGAACUGCUCUUAAAACUGCUGAGCUAGAGAUAGUCAGAGGCGGGUGGAAUUCCAGGUGUAGAGGUGAAAUUCGUAGAUAUCUGGAGGAACACCGGUGGCGAAGGCGGCCCGCUGGGGCUAUUCUGACGCUAAGGUGCGAAAGCGUGGGGAGCAAACGGGAUUAGAUACCCCCGUAGUC
rnacentral:rRNA from 1 species